rnacentral:pre_miRNA from 1 species
AAGGGGAGUGCCAGAUCCUGGGCUAUGUCCCCUGGGGCCUUGGGAUCCAGGACCUGUGCCGCUGGAAUUGCGCUCCCAGGGCCCCGCAUCCCCCU